rnacentral:rRNA from 1 species
AUGGAUCUUCUCCAGUUUGUGCUCAACUUUAAAGGCACACCACCAUGGCUGAACUCGACGGUCAUUACCGCCCUUACGGACCGUUGGAGGCCGGAGACGCACUCUUUUCACCUUGCUCUUGGUGAGAUGACCGUCACUUUGGAGGAUAUUGCGAUGAUCUCCGGGCUUCCGAUCGAGGGCAGGGCUCUUAUCGGGAAGGUGAAGUCUGAGGGGUGGCGACAAAGGGUUGCAGGUUUGGUUGGUGUUGAACCUCCCCCGUGGAUUCAUGAAACAAAGAAGGAUCCUAGGCCAUCCGGUGUUUUGUUCUCGUGGCUACAGGAACAUUUUUACGAGUGCACAGAGAAUGCCAGUCCGGCUGUUGUGGAGAGGUACGCCAGGGCUUACUUAUGGAAUCUUUUGACCCAA